rnacentral:rRNA from 1 species
GUAGGUGGCAAGCGUUGUCCGGAAUUAUUGGGCGUAAAGCGCGCGCAGGUGGUUCUUCAAGUCUGAUGUGAAAGCCCCCGGCUCAACCGGGGAGGGUCAUUGGAAACUGGGGAACUUGAGUGCAGGAGAGGAAAGUGGAAUUCCACGUGUAGCGGUGAAAUGCGUAGAUAUGUGGAGGAACACCAGUGGCGAAGGCGACUUUCUGGCCUGUAACUGACACUGAGGCGCGAAAGCGUGGGGAGCAAACAGGGAUUAGAUACCCUGGUAGUCCACGCCGUAAACGAUGAGUGCUAAGUGUUGGGGGGGGUUUCCGCCCCCUCAGUGCUGCAGCUAACGCAUUAAGCACUCCGCCUGGGAGUACGGUCGCAAGACUG